AUUCAGGGGACACCUUAGACUUAUAUUACACCUUGUAAAAAAAAACGUUCGAUGGCACCUUUAAUGGGUUUCAAUUGAGACAGUUUUUGUACUUAAGGUCCUGAGUGGAACUAUUUUGUGUUACUAGUGUAAAAUAGAUUUAUUUAUAGUAUAAUUUCAAUAAAAAUACACAGCUCUGCCAAAAUUUCUGUACUUAGCAUUAACUGAACAGAUGCUGAACUGUUAUAGCAUUACUGAAGUAUAAUAUACUUGAUGAAUGAUUUGCACUAUUAAAUACACUGCCCGGCCAAAAAAAAGAUCGCCGUUUGGAUUUUAUUAGGUAAAUACUUAAGAACCUAUGAAUGGAUCAUUAUUACUUAAUGUUUCUAGCAUGUUUUAUGUUUGGCAACGGUUCUUUUAAUCCUAACAGAUGGAGUGUGCAGCUUUUCUUUUCUUAAACAACCAUGUUGGAAUAUGUAUCAUGGCCAUAUUCCAGGAUGACAAUGCCAAUAUUCAUCAGGGUGAAAAAAUGGUUCAGAGAGCACAAAGAAUAAUUUUCACACAUGAAUGGGCAUUUCUGAGUCCUGACUUUAACCUCAGUGUAAGUCUUUGGGAUGUGCUGGAUUGUCAAUACAAGAUCUCGACCAAAAAUUGCUAACCACUUGAUGGAAAUAAAUGUUGUAAUGUCCUUUCCAUCAGGAGGUGCAUCAAUUUUUGGUCAAGAUAUUGACAUUGCAAGAGGUGAGCACUCUGGUCAUCAUAUUUAACAUAUAAAUUCUGAGCUUUGUUAUGAGUAUAAAAAUGUUAAAGUAAACUAGACGUCUAAGAACUGAGUCAGUAACGCAACUUGAAGUCAUCUUCAGUCUGUUGGUGGUGAAACUCGACUCGUCUGGUAGAAACUGUGCAGUGUGUCAUCCACUCCUCUUCACGUUCAUGACAUCUUUGGAUCCUUGACAACAACACCUGAUGUCAACUUGACAGCCGCUGCACCGCGUUCUGAUCGUUUUACAGUCAUAAAAGUACAGAUCCUGCAGAUGACAGCUCAGUGACAGACUCAUAAAGUCACUCAACAGCAGAAUCAACUGACACACAUUGAGAUAAUGAUCGACAGUGUCACAAGACUCACCUCAGUGGGCGGGACUUACAAGCAGUGAUCCAAUUGGCUGAAAAUGUGAUUAAUAUCCGACAGCCUGUUGCCAAUUUGCAAUCCACCUGAGGACCAGCGUGAGCACAAGGAGAAGUCUUCUUUAAUAUUAGGAUCUCUGGGUCAGAACUGCUGGAGGUCAUAUGAGGAGGUGACAGAAGCAGCUGCAGCUCAUAUCCUUUCUCUGGGAUAAAGUUUACGACCAUUUGUUUGAAUGCAUGUGUUUGAAAAUGGAGUGUUUUACAAACUGGAGUGAUCAGUUUGUGCACAAUAAAAGGCUAAAUGUGACAUUUGUGUGCCGUUCAUGAUUUCCAACAUCAAUGCAUUGUUGCAUAUAAUCAGUAGUUCAAAUGAGGUGUGGGCUCAUCUGUCAUUCACUGGCCCGCAUCUAUAGUAGUUUUUGGGCAAGCUGUGACUAAGUUCAUGAUUGCCAAGCUAAAAUCAAUUAAGCAUUAAGAAUCCAGCUUAUUAGCAUGUUCAUGUCUGUAAUGUGAUGCUGCUGUAGUCUGAAUUUUUCAGUGUGGAUCAUCUCAAGGGAAACACCCCUUCAAAUGCUGGUUUGAGGGUGUUUCCCCCAGAG